UAUAGUACCUAUACCAAUAACAGGCUUGUAUGUUUAUUAUUACGAAAGGGACGAUCAAAGUUUAUUUACCAUGUUAUUUUUACUCGAAUCUAUGCCCUGGGUAACCCUUUUUCUCGCAACUUAUUUCCUCCACGACCCACAGCGCCCUAAAAUUUUACACUUCGCUCUUCCUCUCAUCAUAAUAACUCGAUUCAUUAGCAAAAUUAAACUUUCAAGAUCCUUACACUAAAACUCAUUUAUACAGAAAUAUUAUAGGUAUAUAUAUAAGGUACCAAAAGAUUCCUACACAUUGUAAUUUGUAGUUAUUACCAUUCGACAUUCACAGUAGGAAAAAUGACUGAUAAAUCUACCUACGAGUACUUUGGUGUGCAAACGCUGAUAACGCACCAUAAACGUACCUAGUACCUACGUACGCUGUGGUGGUCGAAUUUCGUUUAGGUGCUUACUGAUAAUUCGUUUUUUCGUUUCACUUUAAGUAUAUCACUUGACGAGUAUCUGGACACAUUGGCGUAAAAAAAUAAUUUAUUACUGGCGACUGUGGUGUGUGGACAAGCGCUAGAUUCAAGAUUUACCUAUAUCUAUUCGAGUACUUGCAAUGUAGAUUUAUAUUUGGUCACGUAUAUUUUUCAUGUUUGCCAUUUUCGAUAAACGCACUUAUCUCGAGUGCAGUUAAUUUUUCAUGUAAGACCUAAAUGAAAUUUUUUUUUCAUCGGUCAGUGAUCGUCUUAUAGAGAUUAAAUUAGGUCUAGAUACCUUGGCCUGAAUUUCAUUUAGGUAUUUUCCCACCAAUCGCUAUGUAUUUUCAUAUCUAAGUUUUGAAAUGUCCUCAACUGAACAAAUUACAAACCUAAAGCCUAUCUAACAAUUUACAAAUAGGCUAUGAAAAUAUAACAUUUUUUUCUUACUAUCAGCGCUUCGAAGAAUUGCGAGUGUGAGUAUGAAAAUAAUUAAACAUUCGUGUACGAUGGUGGAGGCGAAUUUCUUGAUGUUUUUUUGUCAUUCAACGUUGAAACAUUAAAGAAGAAAAUAACGAUGAUAGGUAAAUUUUUAAAUAAUGGAGCGUAGGCGAAUCAUCGUAGGUAAAUCAUUAAAGUUGAAGUUGGAAAAUUAUUUGAACUAUACAUAUUAUUAUGUAUAAUGAAGUAUGCCUAUAUAUGCGUAUCCAUAUUUUUUUUUAUCAAUUUAAAAAGAAAAGUCGCCGUGAAACAACUGUAAAAAUAGGUAAUAAUUGCAGAGAAAAAUAGGAAUACUGUUAAAUAGAUAUAUAGAGGCGUUGCCAAUGAUAGGAGGAUAAGAAUAUUUCCCUAGUAGGUCAGGAUGAAUCUAACUCCCUAAGAGAUGUAAUAUAUCACCUUUUAAAAUAGUACUUACCCGCUGCUAGCUCAGCUUUUACAACACCAAUAUGUAUAAAUUUAAACAGAUUUAGUCGAGUUUACCUUGUAUUAAUUCGAACCGCACGCGAAAUAAGAACACACGAUAAACACGAAAAGUGUAUUAUAAUUUUGGAAUAAAAUUACAACACGAAACUUAAGUCUAAAACAUAUAAAACUCUACGCGUAUAACCAAUAUAUAUUCCACCAAAUAGUGGCGUAAGUAGGAUCGCUUUUACCCACCUACGUGUAACUAUCAAAUUGCCCGCGUUGGGUAGCGAAUUUAGGACUUAAGUUUAAACGCGAAUACUCUCCCUUAAACACGAACGUUAAGGCAGAGGACUUGGGACUCAAGCACAACUCUUACGUAGGAGUGAGUGGCCUUAUUACUUUUCCGCGGUCAGACCUACCAGACGAAGCGCGAAUCGACAAGUGAAGAUCAAUUCCAUCUCAACUUGGCUUCUAGCCUCGAGUCGAGAAGGAAUUGAGCUUUACGAACUUGUGAGCUUUUCACAUCUGCCCUUAAUGGAACGAUGUGAAAACACCUCUUGGGUGGUUCCCACGUACUUAACACCUUACCUAAGUGCAUCGAGUAUAUGCUUUCAUCUACGUAAAGUACUGUAGAAUCGAACUAUUGAUUGGAUUCUCCAGUACUUCCUUUAGAUGAAAGAUUUAUAAACCCACUGAGAGAGAUACGAUGAAUAUCCCUGUCUAGCCAGUGAAGGCAUAUUGUCCCCUUACAUUUGCCCCUAACGUGGGUUUACUUCUAAAGUAUCCCCUGAGGAAAUGUAGAGGAAAGCACGGAAAUUUUGAAAAAAGGUGACAUUGUGCUUCACUGGAUGUGACCCUAUUGCCCCCCGUACUUUGCUUGAGUGAUGCGGGGAAUAGUAAUCCCAAAAUAAAUUUUGAAACUCUUUGGUUUUUAUUAUAAUUCCAAAAGUGAGGUGAAUUUUGAGUGUGCUGGUGAGUUGACUCUUACUGACCAAGAGUAACUACAAUUGAUCAUCAAUAUUUGACCGAAGUCGAAGAUAUCAAUAAACCAAUCAGAUGCUACCUUUGAUCUGGUCACUCCACAGCAGGGUCAUGGCCGAAAUGGUAAGUAUUUAAGUACGAUUUAAUCUUUGAGGGGGAGGGUUAAUCUAAAAGGUACCCUUCCUCAAUUUUAUGAUUUCAGGAGAAGAUGAAAAAAGCUCAAGAAGUUCGUGGUUGUUUGGCUUUGUUGUCUUUGGAUAGUCUGACCAAGAAUUUUUGAAGAAAAAAUUGCUGGUGUAUUUUGGUCAACGACGAUGGCAAGAGAAUUACUUUGUUUAUCAAAAACUAAAGAUAAGUACAAAAACAUAUUUACAUUUUUAUUAAAUAAUGUAAAAUUUAAGAGCAUUUUUGUUUCUUAGGAUUAAUCAGUCUAAUUUAAACACAUGAUCGAUUUAAAAUAUCUGUACAUUUUUUAUUUCUAAAAAAAAUUUUAAAGUUAUGAAAUAAAUUAAAUAAAAAAUGUUGUUUUUGUUUAGGACCAGUUCAGAGAAAGAUGGGUGAAACUUAAAAUAGGAUUGAGCCAAAGUUGAACCAGUCUGUUGGGAUAUUUUUCGUAUUUACAAUAAGUAAGAAGGCAAAGAAGAUUUCCUUAACUAAUAAUGCACAGAUCCUUUUUCUUGGCUCAUGGACUUCUUUUCCAGGAAGACAAAGAUAGCUAGAUUUUUGAAAGGAAUGUUAUCCGUCUACGGUCUGAGUCAACAUGGCCUUCUGUGCCCUGAAUGUGAUAUCUUUGUUAAAAAAUAAAAAAAAUUAAAAAAAGAAUUUUAAAAAAAAUAAAAUUAAAAUUUUUGUAAAUUUUUGGAAAAAAAAAAAAAAUUUUUUUGAAUUUGAAUUUUUUGAUUCUGUAAACGUAUUUUACGUUAAUAUAAGUUUGUAAAAAAUAAAAAAAGAUAAUUGUAAACAUUCAAAAAAUAAAUUGAAUUUAUUUUAAGUUUGUAAGAAAAAUUUACAUACAUGUAUUAUUGUAUCGUAGUUUUAGAGUACAAAUUUUGUAUGUUUGUAAAAAAAAAUUUAAAAAAAAAUAUUUUGUGCUAUUUUAUAACCUAAUUAUACAAAUGUAUAGAUAAAUUAAUGCGUAGAGUUUUUUGUAAUGAAAAAAAAAUUAUCAAUAAAUAUUCAAUAAAUUACAUCUUAACUUUAUUUACAUUUUUGGAUGUUCAUUUUUUCUGCUCUACGGGUCGUUUUAAUGGUCGGAUCGAUGAAUGGAAAAUGGAAUGUAGGUUGACACAGUUUUUUAGGUGGUUUUGGCGGUUACUAGGUUACUGGUGAAGGUCGCGAGCGUAACGGUACCGGUUGUGGGAAGGUGGAUGUUGUCUUCCAGCUGGGUGGUCUUUUUUACGACGAUUUUAUUUUUUUAUUUUUUGAAGACUACCUAAGCACUUUUAAAGCCAAAAUUGUGCUUUUUAAACUGAGUCAAGAGGUAGAAAAUUCGCGAAUAUUUCGAGUUUUUAUUUAAUUUAAUUCAAACCAUUUUCCAUUAAAAAAUCAGUCUGAUUUUUCUAAAAAAAAAUUU